UUCNCCUCUAUUUUCUACCUUACUAACUUCUCACCAACAAUAGUGACCCACCCAUCGAGUGAAGUAUGUCUGUCUUUUUGUAAUAUAAUAAAAUAGUGAAAUCCAUAGAUACUAAAAAAUUAUUAUUCGUUGUCAAACUGUGUCAAAGUUUCUAAUGUUAUCAUUUCGUUUAGGCGGUUCAACCGUAUCAAUAAUUUCUAAUUACAAAAUAAAUGUGCCAGGAUAGUUUAAGGUCUAUUUACACAAAACAGUGACGUGAUAGUGCCAUAACCGUUCCGGGAUUCCACCGGUGAGGUUAAUAAUAUAAGAAUGAUAAGCAUGUUCUCACUGUCCGGUGUGUGACAUUACCGUUGCAAGCAAUAGUGUAGCCGUCACAAUGUGAUAAUGAGAUUUAUUGCGGAAGAUAUUUUUCUCGUUUCACAGUCAUAAUUUUUUAGUUAAGUUUAGUUAGUUUUCCCAGUUUUAGCUAUAAUUAAUUUUACCCAACAUCUAACG